rnacentral:rRNA from 1 species
UCUGGAAACUNUCUGACUUGAGUGCAGAAGGGGAGAGUGGAAUUCCAUGUGUAGCGGUGAAAUGCGUAGAUAUAUGGAGGAACACCAGUGGCGAAAGCGGCUNUCUGGUCUGUCACUGACGCUGAGGCUCGAAAGCGUGGGUAGCGAACAGGAUUAGAUACCCUGGUAGUNCACGCCGUAAACGAUGAGUGCUAGGUGUUAGGCCCUUUCCGGGGCUUAGUGCCGGAGCUAACGCAAUAAGCACUCCGCCUGGGGAGUACGACCGCAAGGUUGAAACUCAAGGGAAUUGACGGGGGCCCGCACAAGCGGUGGAGCAUGUGGUUUAAUUCGAAGCAACGCGAAGAACCUUACCAGGUCUUGACAUCCCGAUGCUAUUCUUAGAGAUAGGAAGUUACUUCGGUACAUCGGAGACAGGUGGUGCAUGGUUGUCGUCAGCUCGUGUCGUGAGAUGUUGGGUUAAGUCCCGCAACGAGCGCAACCCUUAUUGUUAGUUGCCAUCAUUAAGUUGGGCACUCUAGCGAGACUGCCGGUAAUAAACCGGAGGAAGGUGGGGAUGACGUCAAAUCAUCAUGCCCCUUAUGACCUGGGCUACACACGUGCUACAAUGGUCGGUACAACGAGUUGCGAGCCGGUGACGGCAAGCUAAUCUCUGAAAGCCGAUCUCAGUUCGGAUUGGAGGCUGCAACUCGCCUCCAUGAAGUCGGAAUCGCUAGUAAUCGCGGAUCAGCACGCCGCGGUGAAUACGUUCCCGGGCCUUGUACACACCGCCCGUCACACCACGAGAGUUUGUAACACCCGAAGUCGGUGAGGUANCCUUUUAGGG